rnacentral:piRNA from 1 species
UGGCACAAUUGUAUUCAAUUU